rnacentral:rRNA from 1 species
AACUGAAGAGUUUGAUCAUGGCUCAGAUUGAACGCUGGCGGCAGGCUUAACACAUGCAAGUCGAGCGGGGGAAGGUAGCUUGCUACUGGACCUAGCGGCGGACGGGUGAGUAAUGCUUAGGAAUCUGCCUAUUAGUGGGGGACAACAUCUCGAAAGGGAUGCUAAUACCGCAUACGUCCUACGGGAGAAAGCAGGGGAUCUUCGGACCUUGCGCUAAUAGAUGAGCCUAAGUCGGAUUAGCUAGUUGGUGGGGUAAAGGCCUACCAAGGCGACGAUCUGUAGCGGGUCUGAGAGGAUGAUCCGCCACACUGGGACUGAGACACGGCCCAGACUCCUACGGGAGGCAGCAGUGGGGAAUAUUGGACAAUGGGGGGAACCCUGAUCCAGCCAUGCCGCGUGUGUGAAGAAGGCCUUAUGGUUGUAAAGCACUUUAAGCGAGGAGGAGGCUACUUUAGUUAAUACCUAGAGAUAGUGGACGUUACUCGCAGAAUAAGCACCGGCUAACUCUGUGCCAGCAGCCGCGGUAAUACAGAGGGUGCGAGCGUUAAUCGGAUUUACUGGGCGUAAAGCGUGCGUAGGCGGCUUAUUAAGUCGGAUGUGAAAUCCCCGAGCUUAACUUGGGAAUUGCAUUCGAUACUGGUGAGCUAGAGUAUGGGAGAGGAUGGUAGAAUUCCAGGUGUAGCGGUGAAAUGCGUAGAGAUCUGGAGGAAUACCGAUGGCGAAGGCAGCCAUCUGGCCUAAUACUGACGCUGAGGUACGAAAGCAUGGGGAGCAAACAGGAUUAGAUACCCUGGUAGUCCAUGCCGUAAACGAUGUCUACUAGCCGUUGGGGCCUUUGAGGCUUUAGUGGCGCAGCUAACGCGAUAAGUAGACCGCCUGGGGAGUACGGUCGCAAGACUAAAACUCAAAUGAAUUGACGGGGGCCCGCACAAGCGGUGGAGCAUGUGG